rnacentral:lncRNA from 13 species
AUAAACUUGUACUGGGAGCACUAGACAUGUACCAAGGUUUUUUAUGUAUCUUUAGAAAAUUCAUCAUGUCAUGACCCAUAUUCGGGAAUCUGGCUAACAUUAGAAAUCCUCAGUUAUUUGAUGAAGUUUUUCAAAUCUUGAUAUGAUCAACAAGGGAAAAAAUCAAGACAAAAGAGAGUAAUUCAGAGGUGACCUAGAAGUCUCCUGAGAUUCAUCAAAAACCAACAUUCACACACACAAGGCUCAAGAUCUGGGGCAGCCUGAAAGACUGGCAUUUGGUCAUAGUCCCCUGAUGGAGGAAAGUGUACUGCCUGAAGUCCCUUCUACAGUAUGGACAUAUAGUUAUACGUCUACAUCUGUGCAACACUGUAUCAGUCACAUGCCAUCAGUCUCCUCUGGGGCUCAUCCAGGGCACGUCAUGAAGAAGAAAACUGGAUAACUACAUUUCCAGCAUGUUUUCUUCAGUCUUAAUGCAUGGCCAUGAGAGACCACUACUAACAUUUACCAAUCCUUUCCUAGCCCUGAUCUCCACACAGCCAGAGCUUUGGGGGACAUACACAUCUGAGAAAUAAAUGAAGAGAAACACAUUUCUAGACA